CUGUUUUCCAUGCUUUACUUAUCUGUAAUAAAGCUUCAGAUGUGUGGUCCUUUAGAUACUUGGUUAUAGCUCCCAUUAAAUUCAAUGCAACACUUCUGAGAAGACAGGUAUAGAAGUGUUAACAGAGUACCUUUUCUGACUCAGAAUGCACUUCAGCAAUCCCACUGGUAUAGGACUGCAGGGUGAUUGAUAAAAACAAAAGGCAUUGUUCUGGUUCAUUGAGAAAUGCGCAUGGUUGUUAAAUUAUACAUAACAAAUCACAGUUGUACCUCAACUCCUGAAUGCCUUGAGAGUCAAACGUUUCGGCUCCUGAACGAUUGCAAACUGAAAGUGAGUGUUCUGGUUUUCGAAUGUUCUUUAGGAAGCCAAACAUCUGACGGGGCUUCUGCGGCUUCCGAUUGGCUGCAGAAGCUUUCUGAAGCCAAUCAGAAGCUGCGCUUUGGAAGUUGAACGUUUCAGAAGUUGGAUGGACUUCCGGAACGGAUUCUGUUUGACUUCCAAGGUACGACCCUCCCAGCUGAUGUCAAGGCAAUAUACAACUAUUUUACUUUUAAAAGACAACUGAAGGCGGCCCUGUUUAGGGACGUUUUUAAUGUCUGACACUGUAUUGUUUUUAAUAUUCUGUUGGAAGCCGCCCAGAGUGGCUGGGGAAACCCAGCCAGAUGGGUGGGUUAUAAAUAAUAAAUUAUCAUUAUUAUUCUUAUACAGCUGUAGUAUUUUAUAUUCUGCUCAGUUCCAGGAUUCCUGGGCAGAUUUCUGUAUUGUAUGAUUCUGGCCAAAAGGUGAACAAAUGAUUGAGAAUCGUAGAUUUGUGGAAGUCUAUAGUACUCUUUAUGCUAUAAGUGUAUUUUCAAUAAUGAAUGGAUAGCAACCGCAUAUAAGUAAUUCAUUACUGGACAUCUUAGAUGCUGAGGGUACAUUCCUAAAGCCAAUUGCUGGAGUUGGUGCAGUGAUCUGACUCCAUGCAGUCACAUGACAGCAAUGGGGUUGCCUCAGGCCUCCCCACAAGUGCAGCCUUGUCCUGGG